rnacentral:lncRNA from 1 species
UAUCUUGUACUCCAGCUUUUUAAACAAGAGUUCAAUGAGAGUUUUAUCACUUUAAAAACUCUCUGCCCGACUAUUUUAGUUUGUUGAUAGGCACCAGUUCAUAGUGCUGCUUGGUAGUGAGAAAUGGACCUUAAAUGCUGAGGAGUUGAGAAGACAGGAAAGAAAUGAAGUGAACAGGCUUUGUUAGAACUUGCAAUAAUUACAGAAUCCAUGUGCAAGAGGCAGGGUCUGAUUGAUUUGAACAUAAAACUGGCAGAAUAUUUGGACCAGAUAAGCUUUUAACCUUUAAGGUUAUUUCUUGGAAAAUAUCAUAUCAUUAGUACAGUUGUCACACUCGAAUUUGGUUUAUAACACUUUAAUGAUACAUAUAAAGCUAAGUAGUUGUAUGUAGAAUGAGGAUAGCCUCAGGCAUACAGAAAAGGACCAACCUAUCAAUAUGCUCCUCUUAAGGAGACUUCAACUUCCCAAAUGUUAAAUAGCCUGUAGGCCACGUCCUCUCUUGAACAAACCAGGGCAGAACUUGAACUUUCUAAUAUGUUAUUCCUGGAACAAGUUACAUUUGCCAACCAACCAAGAGCAGCAACCUCUUGCAUCUUAGUUUCACAAAUAAUAUAGACCUCAUCUAUAAUGUGAAGAUGGCACGAACAGCUUUCUCAAACUACAACAUUGUAAAACUAAUACUGAUCCUAGGUGAGCUGCUGGCAUCUACUCUAUAAGAUAAGAAGUACUCAAAGCCAUAUCCGACUUGAAUUUCCAUAAAGCAAACAGGAAAUCAAUUUGCAAAGAGAUGUACAGCAAAACAGGCCCAACGGUUUAUGUAAGACAAGGACUUAAAACUCAGUUUAUGUCAACGAGCCAGCUAUAUGCACUAAACAUGAAAACCAAAGAUUAAAACUCGAGAAAUAGGAAAAUCCUUAUAAGAUGCAGAACAAAGGUCUCAAAGUGAUUGCGUAGGCAACUGAAGGAUAGUGAAAAGUUAAGAUGGACAUUCCUGGAAAUUGAAAGCAAACUCAAACUCUCUCAUGAAAAGAAAAGAGACCAGAGAAGAGAGUUGUUAAAAGUAUUAGAACAAACCCUGAAGCUUUCUAUAGAUUUGCAAAGGAAACAGCCGUAGUACAGUACAAAAUAGGACCAUUGUUCCAAGAGAAUGGCUCACUGAUUACGGACCCCAAAAGGAUAAGUGAUGUACUCAGUGAACAAUCUGAAAGUGUCUUCACCUCCCUCUCCCCUGGGACACAUGUAAAUAAAUAAACCUGGUUGAAUUCUUUGACAUUUCAGAGGAAGACAUUUCAGCAAAACCAUGGAACAAAUCAUCAGAAGGAAACUGAUGAUGUUUCAAGAAGGAAAUGACUUGCUGAGUGUUACUCGGCCUGGUUUCAGUCAGGAAGAAGCUGCCUCACCCAGCCCUCAUGGCGCAGAUGACUGGGUUUUGAAGCAGCUGCUCAAUCAUUUAAAUGUUGACUUUGCAAAAAAACCUUUGACAACAUAGAUCGUGGCACAUGUCACAAGCUGAGAGCGUGGCAUUGAUGGUGACCUAGGAGAGUGGCUACAUGAUAGUUGGGCAGUUGCAAUUGAUAGUGCCCUCUCUAGAGAAACAAAUUCUGAAUGGGGGUCACUCAGGGAACUGUCUUAGGACCAUUACUGUUUAUAGUUGCUCUUUUAGACAUGCCUAUGGUCAUUCAGACAGGUAGUACCACUAACUACACUGAUGACACAAAAUUAUUACAGACAAUAAAGAACCCUUACAGUGUGACAAGCUUUUGCAGCUGCACCUGAAUGCAAUAUAUGUGGACAGAACAAAACAACAUGCAACUUAAUGCUGGAAAUUUUCAAGCAGCACCACAACCUACAUGUAUAGGACCUGGAGGCACUGCAUUCCUAGAGUCACAUACAGCAUAUGUAAUGAUGCAUCAUUUCAUGUGCACAUUACCAAGAUGGAUUCUAAGGACCAAGAAGUCAUGUUGACCCCUGUGGUCACUGCACAAUGUGAAAAUAAUUGUGCAGCUUCAAACAAUCCAAUGUUACUACACUAAAAGGUACUGUCCACUCCAUCUAAUAUCAGCUUGGGGUUCACAAAUUUUCAGUACUCUGCCACAAAAAUUAAGAAACUUACCCAAUGUGAAUGUCUUCAAAAAGGACUUGAACAUUCUCCUAUCCACAAUAUCAGAUGAACCAACAUCCCAGCAUGAAAUAUAAUGUGUGUGUGUGUGUGUGUAGCUUUGACUGGUUUCAGUCAUUGAUUUGCAAUCAUGC